rnacentral:rRNA from 1 species
CCUACGGGAGGCUGCAGUGGGGAAUAUUGGGCAAUGGGCGCAAGCCUGACCCAGCAACGCCGCGUGAAGGAAGAAGGCUUUCGGGUUGUAAACUUCUUUUAAGAGGGAAGAGCAGAAGACGGUACCUCUUGAAUAAGCCACGGCUAACUACGUGCCAGCAGCCGCGGUAAUACGUAGGUGGCAAGCGUUGUCCGGAUUUACUGGGUGUAAAGGGCGUGCAGCCGGGAAGACAAGUCAGAUGUGAAAUCCCGCGGCUCAACCGCGGAACUGCAUUUGAAACUGUUUUUCUUGAGUACCGGAGAGGUCAUCGGAAUUCGUGGUGUAGCGGUGAAAUGCGUAGAUAUAAGGAAGAACACCGAUGGCGAAGGCAGAUGACUGGACGGCAACUGACGGUGAGGCGCGAAAGCGUGGGGAGCAAACAGGAUUAGAUACCCCAGUAGUC